CCACAUGGCAAGCAGGUGAGG
rnacentral:misc_RNA from 1 species